GGCUAGGCCAGUGAUAAUUAUCUCAAUUGAUUGUUCAAAGUCAAUUACAGAUAGAACUCUUUGUUUUACUCUUUAUCUCCUUCUCACUGCUGCACUUGGCUGUUU
rnacentral:sRNA from 1 species